AGUUUAGGUUUUUCUAAGAGACCAGUGUUGGAAAAAUCACAAAACUUAGGUUGGCACAUUAAACAUCAGGAAUUGUAUUUAAGGAUGCAUGAAUAAAAAGACUCUGGGCGGUUCUCCUCUGUGUAUGUGAGGGAGUGUGUGCAUGCACACACACCCUCUCACACACAUGUGUUAUGCAGUGUAUUUUACAAGCGUAUGUAAACACCUGUUUGGCUAUUAAGGCACACAACUUCACAUAUUCACUCUUUAUAUGUGCAUGAGUACUAAUGCUCUGAAAGUAUGUAAAAACAGCCCCCCCCCAUUUCCACAUUGGUUCUACAUACUCAAGUCUUGAUUACUGAAAAUGAAGAUUAUUCUACACAAUCUUUCUCCAAGGGACCAUGAAAAGUAUUUUGGUAUUAGGAACAGUGUACUCAAAGCGUUGUACGGAAAGAUUGCAAGAGAAGGACAACACGCAGAAUUUUUGCUCAUUGGAAAAAUACCGAUUCGAUUAGUUUCCACGGCAGGAGAAAACAUGCUGUGUGCUACAGCUCAGGAUCACAGCCUUGAAGCAUCGUCAAGAAAGGGAGCCUCUGGUGAAUUCGGCAGUAGAUUCCAAACAGACACUUCACAGCCCACCUGAGGUUGAGAAUCUUUCCCAGAUGUGAGUUGCUGAGAGACCAGAAAG